rnacentral:rRNA from 1 species
AAUCUGCCACUAGGAUUGGGAUAACCUCAGGAAACUGAGACUAAUACCGAAUAUGACCACAGUCUUUACGAAGACAGGGGUAAAAUGUUUUUUCGCCUAGUGAUGAGUCCAAGUCGCAUCAGGUUGUUGGUAAGGUAAUGGCUUACCAAGCCUAUGACGCGUAGCAGGUCUUAGCGGAUGAUCUGCCACAUGGGGACUGAGAUACGGCCCUGACUCCUACGGGAGGCAGCAGUGAGGAAUAUUGGACAAUGGACGAAAGUCUGAUCCAGCGAUGCCGCGUGAAGGAUGAAGGCCUUAGGGUUGUAAACUUCUGUCAGCAGGGAAGAUAAUGACGGUACC